ensembl:lncRNA
GCGCUAAUUUUCUGAGAGAUUUACAUCAGACGAAGCCCGGUGUUGUUUCAAGCCGUUUCUUCUCGCUUCAGCGGCCUUUAGUCAGCGCGCGGUCACAGCGUCCAGAGAUAUUUAUAUCAGAAGAAAGUUUAGAUAGCAAAUGUUGCCGUUCUUUUGGAAAACUGCUGGUCUUUAAAGAACAGUCAUUAAUCAGGAUCCUCUGUUCCCAGACCCAACCAUUCAUCUGAAGGACUGUGAAAAUAUGAACCCUUUGAACCACCGGUGACAGUUUCCACAUGAUAAAUAGAAAGGACAUGGCAGAGGAUGAUAGGGGUGUUGAUAUUUCACUGAAAUUAAACAUCAUUUAAUUACAUUUAGUCUGCUAGUCAGAAUUAUAGCUGAUUAAAUAAAAAUAAAUAGUGGUUCAUGUUUGUUUUGGGAUAGUGGUUCAUGAGUGCUUUGUCCUGAACAGUUUAAAUGGCCGCUUUUCUUCAGAAAAAUCCUCCAGAUCCUUCACUUUCUCAGGUUUUCCAGCAUCUUUUGCAUAUUUGAACUCUUUCCAGCAAUGAAUGUAUGAUUUCAGAUCCAUUUUUUACACUGAGGACAAUUGAGGGACUCAUACACAACUAUUUCAAAAGGUAAACGCAUUUAUUGAUUUUCAAGAAAUUCAUUUUUUCUGAAAAUCAGUGUUAAAAAGUAUGUAGCUUCAGAAGGGCAGUACUAAAUUAACAGAUAUGAUCUUUAAACAAAACAAGAAAAAUUUACUUAUCAUCCUGUUCAAAAUGUACACCCCCCAACUCUUAAUACAUUGUGUUUCCUUCUGGAGCAUCAGUGAACAAUGUUUUCACCUUUCAUAAUAGUUGGGUAUGAGUCCUUCAUUUUUCCUCAGAGUGAAGAGAAAAUGAUUAGUCAUUGUCGGACAAGGGCCAAAUAUGCAGAAGAUGCUAGAAAACCAAAGAAUUUGUGGGACUUGGAGGACUUUUCUGAAGAACAGCAGGCAGUUGAAUUGCUCUGGACUCAUGAAAAACUAUCCCAAAACAUAAAAAUAUUUGGGUCAUCCAGUAUAUGUAAACUUCUG